CCGCGUGCAGGACGACUGCCCUAUGGGUUGUAAACUGCUUUUGUCGAGGAAUAAACCUAUCUACGUGUAGAUAGCUGAACGUACUCUAAGAAUAAGGAUCGGCUAACUCCGUGCCAGCAGCCGCGGUAAUAAAUAC
rnacentral:rRNA from 1 species